UUGAACGCUGGCGGCAUGCCUUACGCAUGCAAGUCGUACGGUAGAGGGGCAACCCUUGAGAGUGGCGAACGGGUGAGUAAUAUAUCGGAACGUGCCCAGUCGUGGGGGAUAACGCAGCGAAAGCUGCGCUAAUACCGCAUACGAUCUAUGGAUGAAAGCGGGGGAUCGCAAAGACCUCGCGCGAUUGGAGCGGCCGAUAUCAGAUUAGGUAGUUGGUGGGGUAAAAGCCCACCAAGCCGACGAUCUGUAGCUG
rnacentral:rRNA from 1 species